rnacentral:rRNA from 1 species
AGAGGGUGCAAGCGUUGUUCGGAAUUAUUGGGCGUAAAGCGCGUGUAGGCGGCUUUGCAAGUCGGGUGUGAAAGCCCUCAGCUCAACUGAGGAAGUGCGCCCGAAACUGCAGAGCUUGAGUGCCGGAGAGGGUGGCGGAAUUCCCCAAGUAGAGGUGAAAUUCGUAGAUAUGGGGAGGAACACCGGUGGCGAAGGCGGCCACCUGGACGGUAACUGACGCUGAGACGCGAAAGCGUGGGGAGCAAACAGGAUUAGAUACCCUGGUAGUCCACGCCGUAAACGAUGAGAACUAGGUGUCGUGGGUGUUGACCCCCGCGGUGCCGUAGCUAACGCAUUAAGUUCUCCGCCUGGGAAGUACGGUCGCAAGACUAAA